rnacentral:misc_RNA from 1 species
ACCGAGGAAGGCGAUUAUCGAACCAAGUUGCGUAACCUCAAACGAUUCCUGGAACAAGGAAACAAAGCCAAGGUGACCUUGUGGUUUCGGGGUCGUGAAAUGGCACAUCAGGAUCUGGGUAUGCAGCUUCUCAAGCGGAUAGAAGCGGACUUGGAAGAGGUGGGGAAGGUUGAGCAGUUCCCCAAAUUGGAGGGGCGGCGUCUCUCUAUGGUGCUGUCACCGAAGAAAUAGAUCUGCCGAAAUUGCUCCAAGAAUCAUCCCGUGCGUAUGCUGUCGCUACCGACAACCCAACCCAACCCAAAACAAAAUGCAUAUCGAGUGACGUA